GGCUUAACACAUGCAAGUCGAGCGGAAACGAUCCUAGCUUGCUAGGACGUCGAGCGGCGGACGGGUGCGUAACGCGUAGGAAUCUGCCUAGUAGUGGGGGAUAGCCCAGAGAAAUUUGGAUUAAUACCGCAUACACCCUACGAGGAAAAGGAGGCCUCUUCUUGAAAGCUUCCGCUAUUAGAUGAGCCUGCGUCGGAUUAGCUAGUUGGUGAGGUAAAGGCUCACCAAGGCGACGAUCCGUAGCUGUUCUGAGAGGAUGAUCAGCCACACUGGGACUUAGACACGGCCCAGACUCCUACGGGAGGCAGCAGUGGGGAAUAUCGCACAAUGGGCGAAAGCCUGAUGUAGCCAUACCGCGUGUGUGAAGAAGGCCUUAGGGUUGUAAAGCACUUUCAGUGGGGAGGAAAGGUUAGUCGUUAAUAUCGGCUAGCUGUGACGUUACCCACAGAAGAAGGACCGGCUAACUCCGUGCCAGCAGCCGCGGUAAUACGGAGGGUCCAAGCGUUAAUCGGAAUUACUGGGCGUAAAGCGUUCGUAGGCGGUCUAUUAAGCAAGAUGUGAAAGCCCCGGGCUUAACCUGGGAAUAGCAUUUAGAACUGGCAGGCUAGAGUCUUGGAGAGGGGAGUGGAAUUCCAGGUGUAGCGGUGAAAUGCGUAGAUAUCUGGAGGAACAUCAGUGGCGAAGGCGACUCCCUGGCCAAAGACUGACGCUCAUGUGCGAAAGUGUGGGUAGCGAACAGGAUUAGAUACCCUGGUAGUCCACACCGUAAACGAUGUCUACUAGCUGUUUGUGGAUUUAAUCCGUGAGUAGCGAAGCUAACGCGAUAAGUAGACCGCCUGGGGAGUACGGCCGCAAGGUUAAAACUCAAAUGAAUUGACGGGGGCCCGCACAAGCGGUGGAGCAUGUGGUUUAAUUCGAUGCAACGCGAAGAACCUUACCUACUCUUGACAUACUAGAAACUUUUCAGAGAUGAAUUGGUGCCUUCAGGAAUCUAGAUACAGGUGCUGCAUGGCUGUCGUCAGCUCGUGUCGUGAGAUGUUGGGUUAAGUCCCGCAACGAGCGCAACCCUUGUCCUUAGUUACCAUCAUUUAGUUGGGGACUCUAAGGAGACUGCCGGUGACAAACCGGAGGAAGGCGGGGACGACGUCAAGUCAUCAUGGCCCUUACGAGUAGGGCUACACACGUGCUACAAUGGCAUGUACAAAGGGUUGCCAAGCCGCGAGGUGGAGCUAAUCCCAUAAAGCAUGUCGUAGUCCGGAUUGGAGUCUGCAACUCGACUCCAUGAAGUCGGAAUCGCUAGUAAUCGUGAAUCAGAAUGUCACGGUGAAUACGUUCCCGGGCCUUGUACACACCGCCCGUCACAACAUGGGAGUGGCUGCACCAGAAGUAGAUAGCUUAACCUAGCUUGCUAGGAGGGCGUUUACCACGGAGG
rnacentral:rRNA from 1 species